AGUGAACGCUGGCGGUAGGCCUAACACAUGCAAGUCGAACGGCAGCACAGUAAGAGCUUGCUCUUACGGGUGGCGAGUGGCGGACGGGUGAGGAAUACAUCGGAAUCUACUUUUUCGUGGGGGAUAACGUAGGGAAACUUACGCUAAUACCGCAUACGACCUACGGGUGAAAGCAGGGGAUCUUCGGACCUUUCGCGAUUGAAUGAGCCGAUGUCGGAUUAGCUAGUUGGCGGGGUAAAGGCCCACCAAGGCGACGAUCCGUAGCUGGUCUGAGAGGAUGAUCAGCCACACUGGAACUGAGACACGGUCCAGACUCCUACGGGAGGCAGCAGUGGGGAAUAUUGGGCAAAGGGCGCAAGCCUGAUCCAGCCAUGCCGCGUGGGUGAAGAAGGCCUUCGGGUUGUAAAGCCCUUUUGUUGGGAAAGAAAAGCAGCAGGUUAAUACCCCGCUGUUCUGACGGUACCCAAAGAAUAAGCACCGGCUAACUUCGUG
rnacentral:rRNA from 1 species